UACGUAGGGUGCAAGCGUUUAAUCGGAAUUACUGGGCGUAAAGCGUGCGCAGGCGGCCUCAUAAGUCCGUUGUGAAAGUCAAAGGCUCAACCUUUGAAAGCCGAUGGAUACUGUGAGGCUAGAGUCCGGAAGAGGCGAGUGGAAUUCCUGGUGUAGCGGUGAAAUGCGCAGAUAUCGGGAGGAACACCAAUUGCGAAGGCAGCUCACUACGGGAGUUAUUGACACUGAGGCACGAAAGCGUGGGGAUCAAACAGG
rnacentral:rRNA from 1 species